rnacentral:rRNA from 1 species
UGUGGUUAGUCCGCAACGAGCGCAACCCCUAUUGUUAGUUGCCAUCAUUCAGUUGGGCACUCUAGCGAGACUGCCGGUAAUAAACCGGAGGAAGGUGGGGAUGACGUCAAAUCAUCAUGCCCCUUAUGACCUGGGCUACACACGUGCUACAAUGGUUGGUACAACGAGUUGCGAGUCGGUGACGGCGAGCUAAUCUCUUAAAGCCAAUCUCAGUUCGGAUUGUAGGCUGCAACUCGCCUACAUGAAGUCGGAAUCGCUAGUAAUCGCGGAUCAGCACGCCGCGGUGAAUACGUUCCCGGGCCUU